AAAAAAAAAAAAAAAAUCAGAAUAUUGAGAAAAUUGCCUUUAAAGUUGUCCAAGUGAAGUUACUAAUAAUGCAAAUUACUAAUCAUAAAUUAAGUUUUGAUAUAUUUACAGUAGAAAUUUAGCUAAAUAUCUUCAUGGAACAUGAUCUUUACUGAUCUUACAUGAUCUUUAAUAAUUUUGACCCAUACAAUGUAUUUUUGGCUAUUGCUACAUAUAUACCCCAGCAACUUAAGACUGGUUUUGUGGUGUUUGUGACAAAUGCAUUACUAAUGCUAUUUUGUAAACUACAAAAAAAGUGUCUGAUUAUGUAAAAAAAACCUUGAGGUAAGUUUAGUUGCAUAUUCCACAUUGAGUACACAUACAAGUUAUUUUUUAAUUAAAAUUAAUUAUAUUUAAUAACUAGUUAAUUAUUUAGUUAAUUAUGGAAGCUUGUUUCCAUCUCAAAAAAUAGAUAAAUAAAUAAAUAAAAACCUUCAAACAUGACAGUACAGACUUUUACAUUAUUACAAAAAUCAAUUUCAUAUAUCUAUAUAUAUAUAUAUAUAUAUAUAUAUUUUUUUCAGUAUUUUUGUGUAUUUGAACCCUUUCCAACAAUGGCUGUAUGAUAUUGAGAUCCAUCUUUUCACACUGAGGCCAACCGAGGGACUCUAUUACACUAUUACAGAAGGUGCAAACGUUCACAUGAUGCUCCAGAAGAAAAAGCAAUGCAAUAAGAGCCAGGGGUGUAAACUCUUUAACAGAAUGAAGAUAUGUACAUGUUUCUUAUUUUGCCUAAAUAUCAUAUUUUUUCCUUUUAGCACUGCCCUUCAGAAGCAUUAGAAAAGACAAAAUAAGUUAAAUUUACCCUGAUCUUUAAAUUCAAAAAGUUUUUACCGCCCAUAAUUUUUAUGAAUUCAGAUAUUAUUGUCUUUUGUGGACUAUGUAAUCAUCUUUUAUGUUAAGUCUUAUUCAAGUCAGUACUAAAUAAAAAAAUAACAUUUAUUUGGUAUGAUCCCUCUUAUUUUGGUAAAAUAAUUAACAUUUUGAGAAAAAACUGAUUGACGGGAAAAUUCCUGAAUGAAAUUAAGGUUUGUAUUACGUUGUAUACCUUUUAAAUUAUCACUGUAUAAAUAGAAAACCGUCUAUAGUCUCACAUUUGUCCUUUUUUUGUUUUAUUGUAAUGUACGUCGCAGCUAACGUCUGUUUGGAACGCUAGCCUCUCACAAACGCAGCACUCACCUCAUCUAUACUGAAAGCGAACAACGCGCCGGCGACACCAUGGUAGAUUCACCUUCCUCCAAACAAAUAUGCAACCAGGGCUGAAACACAACGCAACUUCAUUGUUAUUAUAAGUAACAAAGUUUCCUCCACUGACUACAAUAGGAGCACUAUUGAUCUAGUAGUGUGCCACUGUUGCAGCUAUGUUCGCGCUGUGUGUUUGACAAGUUGAAAAUUGAAUGUCUGACAGACAAGAUGACACGAGGUAACGCUGUUUUUGAUGUAACUUUUUGAACAUGAAUAUAAGAUAAGUCAUAAAUAUAGUCAUUUAAAGAACUGGAACAGCCUACACUGUAAACCCCACUGUUGUCAUUAAUAAAGAAAUUAAGUUAAUGUAACUUGACAUUACUUAAAGUACUAAGUUUUGGCAUCAAAACUUAAACAGGUGUGUUUAACUUACUCAUUUAGCAGCAAAAAUGUUUUAAUUAAUAUUUUAAGUUCUCUGAACUCAACAUUUUAAUUCAUUUAAACGUUUCACCAUGUUUCUGUUUAAAAUGAUUGGUCGCGCUUGAAAUUCUGCUUUGACAACCGCGCUGAUUGGUCGAUAUAAAUUACUAUGACACAAGGCGGGAAUUUUUUUUUUGCCUUGUGCUGAAUUUUGCUGAAGCAGCAGCAGGACAGAGGCACUAGCAGAAACCAUCUGACAGAAGAAAGACAAAAGUUAAAUUAUAGCAGCACAAGUACGCUGGCGGUAAAGCAGGUGGGAAGAGAGUCGUCCUAAAACAUUCAUUAGAGUGACGUUACACAGCUGCACUUGCUGGCAGGCGAUUGUGAAGCAGGCGGGGACACGCAUGGAGUCGUGAUAAAGGCCCAUGGAUUACGCUGCGGCACUUGCAGGCAGGCGGUCGUGAAGCAGGCGGUGACAGGGAUGGAGUAGUUAUGAAGGCCCAUGGAUUACACUGGUAAGUUAAUGUUUAACACGUCUGCACGUUUUGGUUUAUUGUCUGUAAAAGGUUUUAUUUCAUACGGAUGGACAAGGUAUAACGUUAAAUGCGUUUAGGUUAAUAUUAAGUUUCUGUGAGAAACCAAACCAAUGUUUUAUACACCGUUUUUGUGAAUUUACAAUAAACAUGCUGCUACCGUGGCUCUAACUUCGAGUAUAAUUUACUCCCAUGCUCACUGAUAUGUCCCUGUGUAUUAUUUGUGAGAUUAUAUACUUUAUUCUUUUGGUGUAAAAUUGUGUUGCCGCUUGAAGACGUUGUAGUUUUAGGAAUAUCUUUGGCCAAUCGUGUUUACUAAAAACCGCAGACCUGUUCCCGCCUAAAGGUUUUAAGAGGAGAGCAAUGCGAGGUUGAAUUAAUUCGUUAAAUUUAAUCUCUCCCCCGCAUAUUUUGCAUGUCUCUCUUAGUUAACACACCUGAGUCAGAGAACCAGCUCGUUAGAAGUGAGUUCCGUGCAUUAACUGUUCUGAUUGACAUGGUCCCUGCAUAGUGUUCACAGCAGGGGAAAUCCGUUGAAGUUUACUACACUUCGGAACGUUUAACGUUAUUCACAUAUUUGCGCUACGCCACGGCAUACGGCGUCACACCGCUUCAAAUGGAACAUAUCAGCUCGUUUCGAACGAAGCAAGCAUAUAUGUUCCAUUUGAAUGUCAUUAAAGCGUGGGAGACGUGACUUUAAAUCGUAUCUAUUUACAGAUGCAUUUGUCACACUUCACAUUUCUCUAGUUUUAUCUGUGUGUGAAGACGCUGUAUACCCUAACUGUGCGUUCACACCCUCGCCGGCGAGAGCGUCAAAAUUCGCUCUGGCCGCCCUGCCAGCAACGCUGUAGAAAGAUUCGUUGACGCCCUGACGAUCGAACGCUUGGUCUUGUAUUUAAAGCGGCCGCAAAGCAAACAAGCAUGUUGAUCUUGUGCAGACUGACCACAAGUAGGGUGUAAGUUAACCUCAUGAUUUUUAUAAAAAAAUUAAAGUAAGAAAUUGAAUUUAAUUGUAGUUACAUGCAGUGGUGUAGUGGUGCCUGGAGAAGUGUAUACGCAUUAGUUAUACACAUGUAUAUACGCAAGCUUUUACCUUUCUGACAUCUGGACGUGACUCUGCGCAAUCCCUGACAUGAACAGCAUCUGGGGUGGAGGAGGACUGAGCGGGCGCGGGCGCAUCAGUCUUAAUCUUCAAACAUAUUUCAAAUGAAGCCGGCGUCUUUACUGGGUGUUUUUAGCGAAUAUUUGGAUUUAUUCACAUAUGACUGGAUGUGCUGGACUGUCAUGAUUUUGGCUAAUGCAGGACACUAGCUUACUGAAUGAUGUGCAUCAGAGGGGAUUUCAAGGUGGGUAUACGCAAAGCCACCUAAUAAAAUGGAUAUAUGCCGUAGAGUUGCGUAUACCCUCCACUACACCACAUGUUUGCUAACGAAAUAAACCAAUUAACUAUACAGCCACUGUCUGUAUAUAUUAAAGCCUAAUGACAUUUAUCUUUAUGUUUUUCUCUACUGACAAUACCACAGGGGAGACCAGGUACAGAACACUUUUGUUUUUACUUGCGAAAAAAAUAAAUAAAUAGGCAGAGGUGCCUGUUUUUAUUUUAAAAUAUGUGACAUACACCUCGUCUCCAUCAGAUGUCAAAAUUUUCGCCGCAGCUGUCUACAACACCUAUUUUUCGUUUAAUCCAAUGUGUCGAUAUGUCAGAAAUUUUUUUCAGCAGCGACACUGUUUUGCAUGCUCUGGCACUAAAGUUAGCAUAUGCAAUUCCCGCUUAUUUACAGAAAAUAUAUAACAAAAUAUAAACAUAUAACAUCAACAAGACACCUUGGUCCAUGCAUCAUUUUGCUUGGGAACUAAUGUGGUCGGAACCAAAGUUUUACAGGCGUUCUCUGGAAUCCUCUCAAGGGGUGAACUUCUACAUUCCGAUUGGUUGCCGCCGAGCCGCGUCAUAGCUCAUUACCAUAAAGUUGACCUGAUUUCAACUCUUCCCUACGCCCACACCGUCCAAAACGCGCCGCGCCGCUUCUCGCCGGAGCUCGCCGCCGGCUCACAUUGAAAAUGAAUGACUUCCGGCCACUUUGACGCUCUCGCCGGCGGCGGUGUGAACGCACGGUAACUGUAUUGACCCGGAUCACAAACUACGCAUGCGCAUCGCAGAGACGAGACAAGAUGAGCAUUUGAGGUUAAAAAGUAUAUAAAUUGUCAAUUUGUUUUGAAAAUAACUGAUUGUUUUACCAGAUAAGAUGCUUCUUCCUUGGCUGGGAUCAUUUAGAGCCUUUUGAAGCUGCAUUUAAACUGUAUUUUGGAAGUUCAAACUUCACCACACAUAGCCAUUAUAUAGAGAGAAAUCCUGAAAUGUUUUCCUCAAAAAAACUAUUUCUUCACAACUGAGGAAAGAAAGACAUGAACAUCUUGGAUGACAAGGGGGUGAGUGCAUUAUCUGUAAACUGUUAUGAAAGUGAACUAAUCCUUUAAAUGUGAAUAAUUGAUGAAAAUUUUCCUUUUAGGUCAACAAAUUUUGUGCAACUUUGACUGGGACAAAUCUGAUGUUAUUUUGAAAAAUCUUUUCUGCAUGCUAUUACCUGCCCCUUCUUACAUUUUUCUUUUUCAGAUCUACAUGGAGUUUAACAGGAUUGCUGGUAAGAACCUGAAAAAGGAAUUUUAUGAGUCCCUUGAUCGACAUAGUACAUGCCUCUUGGACAUUUUCAGAGCCAAAAAUGGAGUUGCUGGUCAGCUCUUGAUGGACCUUCUGAAGCAAACAAAGUUGUCAGAGCCAGCUGAGGUCCGAACUCUUGUGCUCCAAGGACUACCUCUUGUGUUUGGAGAUGACUCCCCUGCUUUCUUCAAGACAUGUUUGAUGUCCGAUGAUCGCAGCUCGAAUCUUGACGUUCCAGUGGGGAUUGUAAUAGUUGAAGAUGGGACUAUUCUUCAGCCUCUCAACUCUCUGCAUUUGCCUCUCUCCUCAUUUGGGAUAGUAAUUGAGGGAAAAGUGGUGAUGGACAAUCUACGUGACCUUCCUGAAUCAAUGUGCCUUCUGUUUGGACUAAUUUAUGCGUUACACUUAAAUUACCCAAAGUCACUGAAGUACACAUUUGAAUUUAUUCAACGCAUUCUCCUUUCCAUGGGGCAGAAAGACCUGCAGCCUAAGAUACAAUCCUUGGCUAACCAGCUGUUCCAUUAAAAUGGAUAAACAAGAUCAGCACAUGCAUUUUCAUAAAAAAAAAAAAAAAAAAGACUUAAGAUACAGCAUGGGGGGGUCUCUUUCUGUUUUGUGCUUUUCUUGUCAGCUGAGAUUUAAAAAAAAAAAAAAAAGACCUUUACAUUGGAAAUUAAAAACAUUUUAAUGUUAACAGUCAGUAAGACUUUUACCAGCAAAGUGGAAACUUGUCUUUUUUCCUUUUUCUCUAACCUUUUACUUGCAGAGAAUGUAGUUUGUUCACAUUCAAUGACAGGACACUCGAAUUUGUUGCACGAUUCUGUGGAAUGACAACAAACCUACCGUACAAAACACUGGUAGGUCCAGAUUAAUACCAUGGUAUUUAUAACACACAAGGAACUGGAAAAUCUCAAACCAAAAAUAUGAGUUUACAGUUUUGUCUCUUCUAAAAAUGUGACAAAAUGUCUAGAUAAAAAUAAGCUUACCAUUUGGUUGUUAAUGUGUCUUUUAAAAUGUUAUAAUAAAUAAUAGGUUUACAUCUAAAAACAGUUUACCGUUAAAACAAUAGCUUAUGUUCAUGUCUUUUAAAAAUGUGAGUUUACUGUUAAAAAUUUGCUAUUUCGUUGUUUGUGCAUCUUUUAAAAAUGUGAGCUUGCACUUAAAAAUACCUUUUCUGUUAAAAAUGAGUUCAGGUUUUCUAAAAAUGUGAGCUUAUGAUUUUGUUCAUGUCUUAAAAAUGACUGAAUGUGAUCUUACAGAUGAAAAUAGGAGUUUGCUGUUAAAAUGAGCUCAUGAUUUUGUUGUUCAUGUCUUUUAAAAAUGUGGGCUUACUGUUAUAAGCAAUGAAAUGUAAAUGCAGUAUAAUCCUAAUAAAGUGGUUGAUUUGGGAAAAAAACAACUUGUUUUAAUGAUUUAUAAAUUAUUUAAUACAAGUAAAGAAUAUAUAAGCUGAAAAUUUGGGAAGUUUUGUCUAUUAGCCCUUUUAAGUUAUUUGUACUUAAACAUUUAAGUUAAUUCAAUGAAGAGACCACAUUUGGUUAACUCAAUAAAUCGAGUUGUCAAUUUUCCAUUACUCAAACGAACUGAGGGAAUCACUUUCCUCAAAUCAUUUGAGUACUCUCAACUUAUUAGGGUUUACAGUGUACUGAUAGAAGUUUUCUUCCCAAAGAUUCCCACUGGCUGCUCUUGCUGCUCCUGCCAGGUGCUAAAACAUUUUCUGAAAGUUUUUGAAGAUUUUAUAAUUGUAAGA